AUAAUGUUCAUGCUAUUUAUGCCAAUAUAAUUAUAAUUUUUUAAUCUGAUCAUUACGGGCAGAGUGCAGAAGAACCCAGUUGAUUACGUUAAUUUGGGAUUCUUGUACCAUUUUUGCAUGUUAACAUCACAAUAGCUUUUUGCUCUCCAAGUACAACUGCUCAGGCGUAAUUAGCAGCGGGUAGCAGCGAAGAUGACAUCAAGCACGGACACAUGUUGCUCAGCAAAGGAGGAGCGAGUGCAGCUGAAGGACUGGAUACUGUGGAGUGAAAACAUCUAGAAUCACAUCAUGUUGCUGUAAAAGUCCUUUGUGAUUACUGCUGGAUUCUGACCCGACAUGCCAGAAGCAUCUGGAACGUUGCCACAAGACACUGGAAAAGGUUCUGGCUUACUGACAGCGCUUGAGGAACCACCAUUAUUGUUUCAAAGCCAACAGGCACACCUCUCGCUGGUUGUCUCAUCUACAGCAUGCGCCCGCAAGACUUCCUCCUUGGACAUUGGUGAUGAUGAUCUCGCCAAUCCAGCUACCUGAAAAGAAAGACAUCACAUGCUGAACUGACACCGCCAUUCAAAGACAACUCUGCAGAUAUUUGUGGGCACAAGUAGUCAGGUGUUGCAUCGAGCCACUUUACAGGAUCGCAACACUUCCUCACUAUUUCCUCUCAGUUGUUCCGAGUUGUAUCUGCUGAAAUGAAUCCCUCCACUCUGAGGUGAUGCUAUUUGAGUGAUUUAAA